GGUUUUGUUUUUGAGCAGCAGUCAGACAGGCGUGCAGGACACACAGAGACACGCUCCUAAUGAAACACUCUGCUGCUAGAAGAUCCCCGGUUCGAGUCCCGGCCCGGACUCUUCCUGCAUGGAGUUUGCAUGUUCUCUCCGUGCAUGCAAGCUUUACCAACUGACCUGUCCUUCAAACCCCCUCCCCAACCUGAUCUCUGACCUCCGAGCCUAUCCAUCUGCUUUGUGAACAGAUAUCUCGUUACACUGAGCUGGCACAAUUAGAUACAGUACAGCAAAUGCUAGGCAGGCUUACAAGAAAACAUGGAAAGAAACAACUUAAAUUCAUAUUUUUUAUAUUAAUGAAUAAUCUAAAUAGAAUUGCACUGAACCCAGAUAGCUGAAGAAACUGAUUUUUUCGGUUACUGCUGUUGCUUUAAUUAAAUCAAACGAAUCAUCAUGUUUGGUGAGCAUGACUGAGUACAAAAACAUGCCAGAAUGUAACUUUCCUUUUCUUCAUAAAGUACCUUAACAAUGUGGCUUUGGCUUCUAAUCAAGUGAGGUAAACACUUCACCAUCAAUCAGCUGCAUGCUCACUGCUGCUACUUGGUUGGGAAAUCUGCAGCUCAAUAAGAAACUUUGUAGGAAAAGGCCUUUGAGCAUUAAUGAAAUCAUGUCAAUAAAACAAUAGUGUCACAGUGAA